UUUGCCUUUUGUUUCAAAAAAAAAAGAAAAAAAAGCUUUAAGUUCUCCCUCAACCUCCCUCCUUAGCCGGCCAUGGCUCCGGUCAUCGGCCACCGCACCUGCCGCCGGACGCCGGCGACGGCUCCGCCGUCCGCGGUGGCCGGAAAACUAAAAUACUCCAUUUUGUUCCUUUUUUCGAAUAGAGCCCAGAUCUGGGGUCAAAACUACCAGAAAAACCCGGCGACAAGGGCCAAAAUCGGAAGAGACCUUUCGGUUCUUCUUCCUCACAUCCGCCGAAAUCAGGUAAGACUCUCCUCUUUAUUUUAUUUUAUUAUCUUGUUAUAUAUAUGUUGAUUAAAUGAGAAUGAAAAGAGAAAGAAACACUGUAGAAAACCAAAAUAGAACGAAAAUAAAGAAAAAGCAAUCGGAAAAACCAAGGUGAAUCACCUUCAAAACUUUUUAUUUCUUCCAAGUUUUUUUCUAAAAGCCGAACCUCUUUACAUGUUGUUAGUUUCGGCUUUUAUAGCCGAUUGUUUUACAUUUUUUUAUUCCUAUUUGAUUGCCUUUCUCUGCUGUUGCGUGUCCUUGCAGGUACUUGAUGGAAGUGGUUGGUGGUGGUUGCGGCGGUAGCAGGGGGCAAGUAGUAAUGUUGGUGGCGGCCAGGAGCAGGUAGGCUAGGGUUUCAAAAAACUGAAACCCUAGUUUGACUGGGUUCAAGGCCUGUUGGGUUAUUUGGGCCCGAUGUAGUUGGGCUUGGUUAUUAGGUUUUUGUUUUUGUUUUGUUGGGUUUUGGGUGUUGUGUGGGUUAGUUGGGCCCCGGGCAAAGUGGGCUUGUACACACGGAUCAUUCGUCUUUGCGAUGGAUGACUUAAUUACUAUAUGAUAGUAAUUUACUUUUCAUGAAAGAAAAUGUAAUGGUUACAAUGAGAUAAGAUAGGAUCAUAUUGGGAGAGCGGAUUUAUUCCAAAAAGAAUAAGGAUAUCCUAAGAGGAUAACACAUUUAUGACAAGGUCAUUGGACGAGUAUUGAUCGAGUAGCUUUCGUAAUGGUAUAUUGUUAGGGAGAGCUUAAUCACGAUACUAUAGUGAAAUGACUUCAUUACUAAAUGAGUUUAUAAUUAAUAGACGAAAAGCUGAAACUUGAUUAUAAAUCAUUUGAGCCCUAAUCACAUAUGUCCAAUCAAUCCCUUCAUUAGCUCGUUGAAACCAGAAAUUAAUUGCAUGUUGAAUCAAAUGAACAAAAAUGGAUAGAAAUGAUAAAGUUAGAGAAAUGGG
rnacentral:lncRNA from 1 species